AUUGAACGCUGGCGGCACGCCUUACACAUGCAAGUCGAACGGUAACAGGUCUUCGGAUGCUGACGAGUGGCGAACGGGUGAGUAAUACAUCGGAACGUGCCCGAGAGUGGGGGGAUAACGAAGCGAAAGCUUUGCUAAUACCGCAUACGAUCUCAGGAUGAAAGCAGGGGACCGCAAGGCCUUGCGCUCACGGAGCGGCCGAUGGCAGAUUAGGUAGUUGGUGGGAUAAAAGCUUACCAAGCCGACGAUCUGUAGCUGGUCUGAGAGGACGACCAGCCACACUGGGACUGAGACACGGCCCAGACUCCUACGGGAGGCAGCAGUGGGAAUUUUGGACAAUGGGCGCAAGCCUGAUCCAGCCAUGCCGCGUGCAGGAUGAAGGCCUUCGGGUUGUAACUAGCUUUGUACGGUAACGAAAA
rnacentral:rRNA from 1 species